AUACCAUGAUGCGGAUAUUUUCUAAGUAACUCCUUAAAUCUUUCCCAUGCAUCAUACAAGCUCUCAUCUUCAAGUUGAUGGAAAGAUUUAAUCUCGUUCCUCAAUUU
rfam:Citrus sinensis cultivar Ridge Pineapple sweet orange scaffold00455_contig_8, whole genome shotgun sequence.